UUGACAGUUUCAGAGCAUCACGUAUAUUCUAUGCUCAUUACAAAUUGAACACUACGACAAGUUGGAGCUGCAGAAUUUUAAAAUACAACAACAAAAACAACAUAAAUUAGUUCAAAUGAUUCGUUUGCCCUUGCCCGAAAACGAGGAUGAGACGAAGCGCCGGAUUACCGAUGUACGCAGUACAUUCAUUCUCUUUGGCGUCAUGGUUAUCAUCAUACGUUUGAUGCCGCCUGUGCUGCGUCUCAUGAAUAUUCAUUAAAUGGCGUCCACUGUCCAGCUUCAAUUUAUCCCAAUCAAAAUUCUUGUGCCCAAAGGACCGACUGGGUGUGCUGUUAAUCAUAGCUAGCUUAGCGAUGUUAGUUAUUAGCAGAUGUAUUAUCGAUGCGUUUAACGGCCGGAAAGCGUUAUUUAUCGCGUUGACACGGAGUCUUUAGCUGAGUUAAGUGUGACGUCAUUUGGAAACUGCUAUGACGUCAUCGUUGAAGCCAGUUAUUAACUAACUUUAUAUUAAACCAAAGCGACGGGCAACGAAAUUUUCUAAAACGUUUAUGAGCAGCGCUUUUAAAGGCCAUGAAAAUGUCAUCAAGUGGUUGUUGUUUCCCUUAUAGCACGUGCCCUUACGAGGGUACAUAAACAAAUUUCCUGUGCAUCGAUUUUUGUAUACUCUUGGCAAAGCUCAAGUGUCUACAUUUGCUAUACCGCUCCAAAUGGACUUAAUUGCUCUAUCGUUUCAAUGUGCAAAUAUAUAUCUAUUUAAAUCUA